UACGUAGGGUGCGAGCGUUGUCCGGAAUUAUUGGGCGUAAAGAGCUCGUAGGCGGUGUGUCGCGUCGGCCGUGAAAACCUGGGGCUCAACUCUGGGCGUGCGGUCGAUACGGGCAUCACUUGAGUUCGGCAGGGGAGACUGGAAUUCCUGGUGUAGCGGUGAAAUGCGCAGAUAUCAGGAGGAACACCGGUGGCGAAGGCGGGUCUCUGGGC
rnacentral:rRNA from 1 species